rnacentral:lncRNA from 1 species
GUACCACUACAACUACUGCUUCGACUCACUGGUAAUCUCGCGUUUCUAGUGGUGGUUCGGAGUUUGAUCUCCGGUGUACGGACUAUCCUAGCCGGAGAAAAUCCCAAAUCAAAGAUGAUUUAGAGUUUCUGAUUGAAUUAACACGAGCCGCCAUGCUCGAUGAUCUUCGAAUCUGCGGUUGCGGACUCGGUUUCUCAUUCCUUUGCGUCUCUGCUUGCCUUGACUUCGCUCAUCGCUCGAUUGGAGGCUCUUUCUCUAACUGCGAAGCUUCUCUUCUCCAAUAAGCUCGAGAUCGACAAGGUUUUGAUUUUUGAAAAAUAUAAAUUUCUGAAAUUUUUGUUUAGUUUCUGACUAAACAGUUCGAUUCUAAUUACGAUGAUAAAUUUGGUGGAAGGAUCUGAAUAGCAAUGUAUUCGUAAAGAAUUUUGAGAUAGGGUUACCAAUUUCAGAAAGCAUAACUUGAUUUUAGAUUGAAUUUUAAGUUUGCUUAGAUCAUCUAUUGAUCACAUGGAUUACAUCAGAUGGAAGUUUAGUUGCAAUGAAGAAAUAAUUUGUGUGGUUGGUUAUCUAAUUUCUUUUAAAUGUUUGUUUG